UGGGGAAUUUUGGACAAUGGGGGCAACCCUGAUCCAGCCAUGCCGCGUGAGUGAAGAAGGCCUUCGGGUUGUAAAGCUCUUUCGGCGGGAACGAAAGCGCACUUAUUAAUACUAGGUGUGUAUGACGGUACUCGCAGAAGAAGCACCGGCUAACUACGUGCCAGCAGCCGCGGUAAUACGUAGGGUGCGAGCGUUAAUCGGAAUUACUGGGCGUAAAGCGUGCGCAGGCGGUUAUUUAAGACAGGCGUGAAAGCCCCGGGCUUAACCUGGGAGGUGCGCUUGUGACUGGAUAGCUAGAGUACGGCAGAGGGGGGUGGAAUUCCACGUGUAGCAGUGAAAUGCGUAGAGAUGUGGAGGAACACCGAUGGCGAAGGCAGCCCCCUGGGCUAGUACUGACGCUCAGGCACGAAAGCGUGGGGAGCAAACAGG
rnacentral:rRNA from 1 species